AUGAAAUAAGAUAUUCAUUAGAAGCAGAAUAAGGUUUAUACAACUCCAAGAAUAGAAAUUAAAAAUAUAAAAACCCUUGGCCCUUUGUUAGGGCUACAUCCGGCCCUGGAGAAGAGAUCAGCCCUGCAUGGAGUUGGAGACGGUAGCAGCAGCACAGCAGCAGGCUCCCAUCUCUUCCUUCAUGAUUUCUUUCUUUGAAAUAUUCCCAAAAUAACAAAACUCUUCUCUCUCCUCUUAUUUUUUUAUU
rnacentral:lncRNA from 1 species